rnacentral:rRNA from 1 species
GACGAACGCUGGCGGCGUGCUUAACACAUGCAAGUCGAACGGAAAGGCCCUGCUUUUGUGGGGUGCUCGAGUGGCGAACGGGUGAGUAACACGUGAGUAACCUGCCCUUGACUUUGGGAUAACUUCAGGAAACUGGGGCUAAUACCGGAUAGGAGCUCCUGCUGCAUGGGGGGGGUUGGAAAGUUUCGGCGGUUGGGGAUGGACUCGCGGCUUAUCAGCUUGUUGGUGGGGUAGUGGCUUACCAAGGCUUUGACGGGUAGCCGGCCUGAGAGGGUGACCGGCCACAUUGGGACUGAGAUACGGCCCGGACUCCUACGGGAGGCAGCAGUGGGGAAUAUUGCACAAUGGGCGGAAGCCUGAUGCAGCAACGCCGCGUGCGGGAUGACGGCCUUCGGGUUGUAAACCGCUUUCGCCUGUGACGAAGCGUGAGUGACGGUAAUGGGUAAAGAAGCACCGGCUAACUACGUG